CUGUGUAGGGGAAGCAGGUGCUGAGACGUGGGGCCUGCGAUUAAUGUAUGUCAAAACUGAAUGUUCAGGGCCCGACCAAUUGGUAGAACUAGCGGGUGAGAAAAGCGCAGCUGACCGAGACAGUGCCAUAGCCAACUGCAGCAUGAAAACAGAGAGGAAGAGGUUACAGAGCAGCCUGCAGUGAUUCGACAAAGAGAUCCAGCACAGCAGAGCAGACUCAGGGAGGAAGUGAAUUCAUUUGGAGUGAGGGCGGGCUCAGUGCUUGACCCGGACAUGCCCCUUCCUGAGUAUUGGACGUCAGAAUGAGUGAGCAGCAGAACAGAGGGAUUUGUGAGCCAAAUACAGAAGCUAGACACAAAAAAUAGAUGUAACGAAUCUGCAUGACCUAAUUGUCUCAGCGAAGCUUGGCCUGACCGUGCAGCCCGCAGCGUACUCACCAAUCCGUACGCAUGACUGCCCAAAGUCAAAAGAAGAGGGUGACAGUGAUAAUGUUCACAUUCACCCCAGUGAGUAAAUGACGCUCUCAUUACUGGGCAUUUACAGAAGUUCAAUGACCGAUGACCAUUACAAAGACAGCAAGCGUGCCAGCCCCUGUCCUCCUGUGACUCCGCAAGCUGCCAGGAUUCACAAGUCAAAUUCAUUUUACGGCAUUAAAAGAAUAGUAAUAAAUUGUUGGAAAAAAGGUUCUAAAAACAUGUAAGAAUUCAUGAACAUUUGCAGUUUGCCAUUUGACAGUGUAGAACACACUCUGUAGUUUUAAAGCACUUUUUUGAGCCUCCCCCAAAAA